CGAACGCUGGCGGCGUGCUUAACACAUGCAAGUCGAACGAAAAGAGGGAAAGAGCUUGCUCUUUCCGGAAUUGAGUGGCAAACGGGUGAGUAACACGUAAACAACCUGCCUUCAGGAUGGGGACAACAGACGGAAACGACUGCUAAUACCGAAUAAGUUCCAAGAGCCGCAUGGCCCAUGGAAGAAAAGGUGGCCUCUACCUGUAAGCUAUCGCCUGAAGAGGGGUUUGCGUCUGAUUAGCUGGUUGGAGGGGUAACGGCCCACCAAGGCGACGAUCAGUAGCCGGUCUGAGAGGAUGAACGGCCACACUGGGACUGCGACACGGUCCAGACUCCUACGGGAGGCAGCAGUGGGGAAUCUUCCGCAAUGGGCGAAAGCCUGACGGAGCAACGCCGCGUGAGUGAUGACGGCCUUCGGGUUGUAAAACUCUGUGAUCCGGGACGAAAAGGCAGAGUGCGAAGAACAAACUGCAUUGACGGUACCGGAAAAGCAAGCCACGGCUAACUACGUG
rnacentral:rRNA from 1 species